CAUGGCUUGGGCAAAGAAGCAGGGCCAUGAGGAGUGUGGGCGAUGGGCCGGAUUGAGAAGGCACGGGCAGGGGUGGUGUGUGUAAGCGAGGUGGAUGAAGCUGUUGCUUACCUGGGAAGAAGGCGGGUUGUCCCGAGCUGAAGUACAGCAUCUGGUUGAUGUUGGCGAUGCAAAAAUAGGUCCCCUGGUCCUGUGCCCUAAAGUUCUUCACCACCAGCCGAAAGGAGCUACCUUGCUUUGACCCCUCGAACUGUGAAGAUGUUCUCUCGUUCCGUGGGAAAGCAGUCCGGGAUAAGGGGGAAAUGUAGACAAUGAAGUGAAGCUUCCCAUCCUUGUCCUGUCGAAUCCAGGAGACACCAUUGUCGCUGUUGAAAGGCAGGCACUCCAGCUCCAGCCGCUGUCCCUCUUG
rnacentral:lncRNA from 1 species